rnacentral:rRNA from 1 species
GGGUUGUGAGGUUAAGCGACUAAGCGUACACGGUGGAUGCCCUGGCAGUCAGAGGCGAUGAAGGACGUGCUAAUCUGCGAAAAGCGUCGGUAAGGUGAUAUGAACCGUUAUAACCGGCGAUGUCCGAAUGGGGAAACCCAGUGUGAUUCGUCACACUAUCGUUAACUGAAUACAUAGGUUAACGAGGCGAACCGGGGGAACUGAAACAUCUAAGUACCCCGAGGAAAAGAAAUCAACCGAGAUUCCCCCAGUAGCGGCGAGCGAACGGGGAGCAGCCCAGAGUCUGAAUCAGCUUGUGUGUUAGUGGAACGGUCUGGAAAGUCCGACGGUACAGGGUGAUAGUCCCGUACACCAAAAUGCACAGGUUGUGAACUCGAAGAGUAGGGCGGGACACGUGGUAUCCUGUCUGAAUAUGGGGGGACCAUCCUCCAAGGCUAAAUACUCCUGACUGACCGAUAGUGAACCAGUACCGUGAGGGAAAGGCGAAAAGAACCCCGGCGAGGGGAGUGAAAAAGAACCUGAAACCGUGUACGUACAAGCAGUGGGAGCACCUUCGGGUGUGACUGCGUACCUUUUGUAUAAUGGGUCAGCGACUUAUAUUCUGUAGCAAGGUUAACCGUAUAGGGGAGCCGCAGGGAAACCGAGUCUUAACUGGGCGUUAAGUUGCAGGGUAUAGACCCGAAACCCGGUGAUCUAGCCAUGGGCAGGUUGAAGGUUGGGUAACACUAACUGGAGGACCGAACCGACUAAUGUUGAAAAAUUAGCGGAUGACUUGUGGCUGGGGGUGAAAGGCCAAUCAAACCGGGAGAUAGCUGGUUCUCCCCGAAAGCUAUUUAGGUAGCGCCUCGUGAACUCAUCUUCGGGGGUAGAGCACUGUUUCGGCUAGGGGGUCAUCCCGACUUACCAACCCGAUGCAAACUACGAAUACCGAAGAAUGUUAUCACGGGAGACACACGGCGGGUGCUAACGUCCGUCGUGAAGAGGGAAACAACCCAGACCGCCAGCUAAGGUCCCAAAGUCAUGGUUAAGUGGGAAACGAUGUGGGAAGGCACAGACAGCCAGGAUGUUGGCUUAGAAGCAGCCAUCAUUUAAAGAAAGCGUAAUAGCUCACUGGUCGAGUCGGCCUGCGCGGAAGAUGUAACGGGGCUAAACCAUGCACCGAAGCUGCGGCAGCGACACUAUGUGUUGUUGGGUAGGGGAGCGUUCUGUAAGCCUGCGAAGGUGACCUGUGAGGGUUGCUGGAGGUAUCAGAAGUGCGAAUGCUGACAUAAGUAACGAUAAAGCGGGUGAAAAGCCCGCUCGCCGGAAGACCAAGGGUUCCUGUCCAACGUUAAUCGGGGCAGGGUGAGUCGACCCCUAAGGCGAGGCCGAAAGGCGUAGUCGAUGGGAAACAGGUUAAUAUUCCUGUACUUGGUGUUACUGCGAAGGGGGGACGGAGAAGGCUAUGUUAGCCGGGCGACGGUUGUCCCGGUUUAAGCAUGUAGGCUGGUUGUCCAGGCAAAUCCGGAUAAUCAAGGCUGAGGUGUGAUGACGAGGCACUACGGUGCUGAAGUAACAAAUGCCCUGCUUCCAGGAAAAGCCUCUAAGCAUCAGGUAACAUUAAAUCGUACCCCAAACCGACACAGGUGGUCAGGUAGAGAAUACCAAGGCGCUUGAGAGAACUCGGGUGAAGGAACUAGGCAAAAUGGUGCCGUAACUUCGGGAGAAGGCACGCUGGUGUGUAGGUGAAGCCCCUGCGGGUGGAGCUGAGACCAGUCGAAGAUACCAGCUGGCUGCAACUGUUUAUUAAAAACACAGCACUGUGCAAACACGAAAGUGGACGUAUACGGUGUGACGCCUGCCCGGUGCCGGAAGGUUAAUUGAUGGGGUUAUCCGUAAGGAGAAGCUCUUGAUCGAAGCCCCGGUAAACGGCGGCCGUAACUAUAACGGUCCUAAGGUAGCGAAAUUCCUUGUCGGGUAAGUUCCGACCUGCACGAAUGGCGUAAUGAUGGCCAGGCUGUCUCCACCCGAGACUCAGUGAAAUUGAACUCGCUGUGAAGAUGCAGUGUACCCGCGGCAAGACGGAAAGACCCCGUGAACCUUUACUAUAGCUUGACACUGAACAUUGAGCCUUGAUGUGUAGGAUAGGUGGGAGGCUUUGAAGCGUGGACGCCAGUCUGCGUGGAGCCAACCUUGAAAUACCACCCUUUAAUGUUUGAUGUUCUAACGUUGGCCCCUUACCGGGGUUGCGGACAGUGUCUGGUGGGUAGUUUGACUGGGGCGGUCUCCUCCCAAAGCGUAACGGAGGAGCACGAAGGUUAGCUAAUCCUGGUCGGACAUCAGGAGGUUAGUGCAAUGGCAUAAGCUAGCUUGACUGCGAGCGUGACGGCGCGAGCAGGUGCGAAAGCAGGUCAUAGUGAUCCGGUGGUUCUGAAUGGAAGGGCCAUCGCUCAACGGAUAAAAGGUACUCCGGGGAUAACAGGCUGAUACCGCCCAAGAGUUCAUAUCGACGGCGGUGUUUGGCACCUCGAUGUCGGCUCAUCACAUCCUGGGGCUGAAGUAGGUCCCAAGGGUAUGGCUGUUCGCCAUUUAAAGUGGUACGCGAGCUGGGUUUAGAACGUCGUGAGACAGUUCGGUCCCUAUCUGCCGUGGGCGCUGGAGAAUUGAGGGGGGCUGCUCCUAGUACGAGAGGACCGGAGUGGACGCAUCACUGGUGUUCGGGUUGUCAUGCCAAUGGCACUGCCCGGUAGCUAAAUGCGGAAGAGAUAAGUGCUGAAAGCAUCUAAGCACGAAACUUGCCCCGAGAUGAGUUCUCCCUGAGACUUUAAGUCUCCUGAAGGAACGUUAAAGACGAUGACGUUGAUAGGCCGGGUGUGUAAGCGCAGCGAUGCGUUGAGCUAACCGGUACUAAUGAACCGUGAGGCUUAACCUUACAACGCCGAAG